rnacentral:rRNA from 1 species
AGAGUUUGAUCAUGGCUCAGGACUAACGCUGGCGGCGUGCCUAACACAUGCAAGUCGAACGCAUCUGUGCUUCGGUACGGAUGAGUGGCGAACGGGUGAGUAACACGUGAGUAACUCCCCUUGGGGAGGGGGAUAACCAUCUGAAAAGGUGGCUAAUACCCCAUAUUCUCCUUUUUUGUCAAAGAAAGGAGGAAAGAUGGCGUAAGCUAUCACCCCGAGAGAGGCUCGCGUCCCAUCAGCUAGUUGGUAGGGUAAUGGCCUACCAAGGCUAUGACGGGUAGCUGGUCUGAGAGGAUGGUCAGCCACACUGGGACUGAGACACGGCCCAGACUCCUACGGGAGGCAGCAGUGAGGAAUCUUGGGCAAGGGGCGAAAGCCUGACCCAGCGACGCCGCGUGGAGGAAGAAGGCCUUCGGGUCGUAAACUCCUGUUCGGGGAGAAGAACAGGAGAGGAGUGAAUAACUUCUCUCCCUGACGGUAUCCCCGGAGAAAGCUCCGGCUAAUUACGUGCCAGCAGCCGCGGUAAUACGUAAGGAGCGAGCGUUGUCCGGAUUUACUGGGCGUAAAGAGCUCGUAGGUGGUUUCUUAGGUCUCACGUGAAAUUCCCUGGCUCAACUGGGGAGGGUCGUGGGAAACCGAGAAGCUAGAGGGCAGGAGAGGAGAGUGGAAUUCCCGGUGUAGCGGUGAAAUGCGUAGAGAUCGGGAGGUACACCAGUGGUGAAGACGGCUCUCUGGACUGUCCCUGACACUGAGGAGCGAAAGCCAGGGGAGCAAACCGGAUUAGAUACCCGGGUAGUCCUGGCUGUAAACGAUGGGUACUAGGUGUGGGGGGUUCGACCCCCUCCGUGCCGCAGUUAACGCAUUAAGUACCCCGCCUGGGGAGUACGGCCGCAAGGUUGAAACUCAAAUGAAUUGACGG